AGGUAUAAAUUCAAUCGCUAAGCGUGCAUUGGAAUAUAUUAAAGAAACGAAGCUCGGCAAAUCACAGAAAGAAGGGUUAUUGAAACUUGCAGAAACUAUGAAUUCUUUGGGAUUGACUGAUGAAGCAAGAUUGCAGUCUGUAACAAUUGGAGAAAUAAAUUGUGUUCACAGCGAAGAGAUUUCCGAACACGGAAUCGAAAUGCUUGCGAAAAAAUUUGGAAUUAAAAGUGAAAGUGCUUCGUUUAAUCCAGGUAUAUUAUACGCAUAUACAUUUAUGUGCGUGUGACAUAAUAAUUUUUCUCAUUAAUUAAAA